UAUAGAAAAUGUAAUGGCGUUUGGAGGCGGGUUUGCGGGGAUUAUCAAAAUGGGCAGUCUGUGAAAAAGCAAAGCUCAACCCAGAAAACCCAUUUGAAAUCACAAAGCCGUACUAUGAUGCCAUUUUUUGAUGUAAAGGGCUGAUAUUUGCAGGGCAACUUGCAGAAAACCUGCAGGUCAAUUUCAGAGCCACGAACAGUAAUUUGUUCAAUCUCUCCCCUUUUUUGCAAUUCAGCCCCUAUCUUUGAAUACAUAAAAAACGAAACUUGUGUUAAAAAGCUGAGAAGAAAAAAAUUUAGAUGUGUUUCCGGCGGCGG
rnacentral:lncRNA from 1 species